rnacentral:rRNA from 1 species
UGAGGAAUCUUGCGCAAUGGGGGCAACCCUGACGCAGCAACGCCGCGUGAGUGAGGAAGGCCUUCGGGUCGUAAAGCUCUGUCGGAUGGAAAGAAACGGAUGCGGGUUAAUAGCCUUCAUCCCUGACGGUACCAUCAGAGGAAGCACCGGCUAACUCCGUGCCAGCAGCCGCGGUAAUACGGGGUGUGCAAGCGUUGUUCGGAAUCAUUGGGCGUAAAGCGCGUGUAGGCGGCUUGGUAAGUCAGGUGUGAAAGCCCUGGGCUCAACCCAGGAAGUGCACUUGAAACUGCCUUGCUUGAUUACGGGAGAGGAAAGCGGAAUUCCUGGUGUAGAGGUGAAAUUCGUAGAUAUCAGAAGGAACACCGGUGGCGAUGGCGGCUUUCUGGCCCAAUACUGACGCUGAGACGCGAAAGCGUGGGG